rnacentral:rRNA from 1 species
GACGAACGCUGGCGGCGUGCUUAACACAUGCAAGUCGAACGGAAAGGCCCUGCUUUUGUGGGGUGCUCGAGUGGCGAACGGGUGAGUAACACGUGAGUAACCUGCCCUUGACUUUGGUAUAACUUCAGGAAACUGGGGCUACUACCGGAUAGCAGCUCCUCCUGCAUGGUGGGGGUUGGAACGUUUCGGCGGUUGGGGAUGGACGCGCGGCUUAUCAGCUUGUUGGUGGGGUAGUGGCUUACCAAGGCUUUGACGGGUAGCCGGCCUGAGAGGGUGACCGGCGACAAUGGGACUGAGAGAGGGACCAGAGGGGUAAGGGAGGCAGAAGGGGGGAAUAUUGCACAAUGGGCGGAAGCCUGAGGCAGAAACGCCGCGUGCGGGAUGACGGCCUGCGGGGUGUAAACCGCAUUAGCCUGUGACGAAGCGUGAGUGACGGUAAUGGGUAAAGAAGCACCGGCUAACUACGUG